AUUGAACGCUGGCGGCAUGCCUUACACAUGCAAGUCGAACGGUAACGCGGGGCAACCUGGCGACGAGUGGCGAACGGGUGAGUAAUGCAUCGGAACGUGCCCAGUAGUGGGGGAUAGCCCGGCGAAAGCCGGAUUAAUACCGCAUACGACCUACGGGUGAAAGCGGGGGACCGUAAGGCCUCGCGCUAUUGGAGCGGCCGAUGUCAGAUUAGGUAGUUGGUGGGGUAAAGGCCUACCAAGCCUUCGAUCUGUAGCUGGUCUGAGAGGACGACCAGCCACACUGGGACUGAGACACGGCCCAGACUCCUACGGGAGGCAGCAGUGGGGAAUUUUGGACAAUGGGCGCAAGCCUGAUCCAGCCAUGCCGCGUGCGGGAAGAAGGCC
rnacentral:rRNA from 1 species